ACGAAGGGGGCUAGCGUUGUUCGGAAUCACUGGGCGUAAAGCGCACGUAGGCGGAUUGUUAAGUCAGGGGUGAAAUCCCGAGGCUCAACCUCGGAACUGCCUCUGAUACUGGCAAUCUUGGAGUCCGGGAGAGGUGAGUGGAAUUCCGAGUGUAGAGGUGAAAUUCGUAGAUAUUCGGAAGAACACCAGUGGCGAAGGCGGCUCACUGGCCCGGUACUGACGCUGAGGUGCGAAAGCGUGGGGAGCAAACAGG
rnacentral:rRNA from 1 species